CCUACGGGAGGCAGCAGUGAGGAAUAUUGGUCAAUGGGCGGGAGCCUGAACCAGCCAAGCCGCGUGAGGGAAGAAGGUACAGCGUAUCGUAAACCUCUUUUGUCAGGGAACAAAGGCGGGGACUAGUCCCCGGAUGAGGGUACCUGAAGAAAAAGCAUCGGAUAACUCCGUGCCAGCAGCCGCGGUAAUACGGAGGAUGCGAGCGUUAUCCGGAUUUAUUGGGUUUAACGGGAGCGUAGGCGGGCGUGCAAGUCAGAUGUAAAAUCGCGCGCCGAAACCGCGCCCCGCAGUUGAAACUGGAGGCCUGGAGUUCAGAACAGGCAGGCGGAAUUCGUGGUGUAGCGGUGAAAUGCAUAGAUAUCACGAGGAACCCCGAUUGCGAAGGCAGCCUGCCGGGGUGCGACUGACGCUGAGGCUCGAAGGUGCGGGUAUCAAACAGGAUUAGAUACCCGAGUAGUC
rnacentral:rRNA from 1 species